CCUCUGUGAGCUGUUGUUCUCAUUCACCUCUGAGGACCGAGUUGCUGGAGCCUGGCUGCUCCUUCCAUUCAGCCUCUCAAUCUUGUACUCAACUCCUUCAAUGAUGACAGUGGACUGCAUGCUCAUCUCAGGCACUUGUUUUAUCAUCUCGUCCUCUUCCGCUUCUUCCUCCAACAGAAUAGUGCGUUUCUGCUGCAGUUUUCGAGCUUCCUCUUCCUUCAUUUUCUUCAGGUCAUCCUCCCCCACCAAGGAGACACGUUUGGGAGGUUUAUCCACCUGCUGCUGCUUCACCUCCACUUCAAAGUAUUUCUGCCUCUCACGGAAGGAUCGCUGCUCAGGGC
rnacentral:lncRNA from 1 species